GGUAGUAGCAAAUAUUCAAAUGAGAACUUUGAAGAGUGAAGUGGGGAAAUGUUCCAUGUGAACAUCACUUGGACAUGGACGGUUAGUUGAUCCUAAGAGAUGGGGAAUCCUUGUAUCAAGGGUGCACUUUGCAUGAACUUUGAAAGAGAAUUGGGUUAAUAUUCCCAAACCGGGACAUGGUGGUGGACGACAAUGUUAGGAUGAAACAAGGAGUAUAGGUUACAAACAUUAUGAUCUUAGACAAGGAUGUAGCACAAAAAUACAUAUGGAAAUAGGAGAUCUCUCUCUAACCAAUAUGUUAUUGGAUGAUGGUUCCAUAGUAAACAAUAUGAUG
rnacentral:ncRNA from 1 species